rnacentral:lncRNA from 1 species
UGGUCCUAACAUUAGUUGCUCUAGAUUCGCCUUGAUAGGCUGAAACAAAUGUUUCCACACGCUUUUGGGGAAAGCAUGCCCAUAGCAUUAAUAAUCUUCUGCCUGUUUCAUCGAUUUUGACUUGCAAUUCCUUCAAGGCGCACACAUAAUUCAGCCUCCAAAGACAACUAGGGGCCAAAAUCCACAAUUUGGAAAACAUGGAGAAUUUGGCUGCACCA